rnacentral:rRNA from 1 species
UAGGGAAUCUUCCACAAUGGACGCAAGUCUGAUGGAGCAACGCCGCGUGAGUGAAGAAGGUUUUCGGACCGUAAAGCUCUGUUGUUGGUGAAGAAGGAUAGAGGUAGUAACUGGCCUUUAUUUGACGGUAAUCAACCAGAAAGUCACGGCUAACUACGUGCCAGCAGCCGCGGUAAUCGUAGGUGGCAAGCGUUGUCCGGAUUUAUUGGGCGUAAAGCGAGCGCAGGCGGAAGAAUAAGUCUGAUGUGAAAGCCCUCGGCUUAACCGAGGAAUUGCAUCGGAAACUGUUUUCUUGAGUGCAGAAGAGGAGAGUAGAACUCCAUGUGUAGCGGUGGAAUGCGUAGAUAUAUGGAAGAAUACCAGUGGCGAAGGCGGCUCUCUGGUCUGCAACUGACGCUGAGGCUCGAAAGCAUGGGUAGCGAACAGGAUUAGAUACCCUGGUAGUCCAUGCCGUAAACGAUGAGUGCUAAGUGUUGGGAGGCUUCCGCCUCUCAGUGCUGCAGCUAACGCAUUAAGCACUCCGCCUGGGGGAGUACGCACCGCAAGGUU